rnacentral:snoRNA from 1 species
GAUUUUGCGAUGAUAAGAAUAUAAUUCCUCGUUCUGAAUGCCGAUUGGCAUGAUAGACUCUGUUUUAACACCCAUAGAAUCUGAGCAAA